UAUUUUCUUUUCCCCUUCUCUCACUCUAUAUCGUCCCAUCCUCUCUCCAAACACAAACCAAACCCUAGAUCUAACCACGGCGGCGUGCUGCCUCUCUUCCUCCCCGCCUCUCAUCUCUCUUCUCCCUUUCGUUUUCAAACAUUACAAACACAGUCCCACCCCCAAAACCUAGUGACAACAACGCCCGAAACCAAAACAACCCAACAUCCCUACAUCUUUAUACAAAACUUAAAACUGAAUCAAAAAUCAAACAGAAAAAAAACAUCAUCAUCAAAAGCUAAGUCGUCGGAACACCUCUAUGGCCUUGAUUCUUUGAGUUUUCGUUCCGGUUCCUCCGUCCUAUUCUGUUUUCGAUUCCUAAUUCCUUUCUUCUCCUUCGUUCUGCAGGUGCCGGUAACGACGAGGAUGGUGACGGUGCAGUGA